CCUGUGUGAAGCACCUCUUCUAUGCAGCUGGGGCUUUCCGCAGCCUUCCCUUGGGAAGUCAUGUCAAGAAGGUUAUUCAUGACAGAUCUGACGGCCUUUCUCCUGCCUUGCCCUCUUGGCGAGAGUUAAACAUGAGUCUUCUCUUCUUCAAAUCCUUUUCUGGUGAUGGCUUUUACUGUGGUAUUGGCUGUCAUUAUGAUGCUCCAGGCUCUUGUAGUGUAGACGACUGUUGAUAUCCCCAACAAAGGUACAAGAAAUGUGGAACGGCCCCAUCAAGAACUUCUAAUUUUGAUAAAUUAAUCGUCUUCCUGUAGAGUGACCGAUUACAGGAGAUGCCGUGAAGCGUGCUUGCACAUUUCAGAAUGCUCCAAAUUCAUUAGCUAUUCCACUUGAGUUAUGAGUUAGUGAGCCACACGAAGAAAAUGUGUUUGGAAUAACUCUUUGCAGCUCUAGUGUUUUUAAAUAGGCAGCUAACA